rnacentral:rRNA from 1 species
GGUGAACGCUGGCGGCGUGCUUAAGACAUGCAAGUCGAACGCAGUCUUCGGACUGAGUGGCGCACGGGUGAGUAACACGUAACUGACCUACCCCCAAGUCGCGGAUAACUGGCCGAAAGGUCAGCUAAUACGUGAUGUGAUGUCCCCUUUCUGGGGGGCCAUUAAAGGUUUACUGCUUGGGGAUGGGGUUGCGUUCCAUCAGCUAGUUGGCGGGGUAAAGGCCCACCAAGGCAACGACGGAUAGCCGGCCUGCGAGGGUGGCCGGCCACAGGGGCACUGAGACACGGGUCCCAGUCCUACGGGAGGCAGCAGUUAGGAAUCUUCCACAAUGGGCGAAAGCCUGAUGGAGCGACGCCGCGUGAGGGAUGAAGGUUCUCGGAUCGUAAACCUCUGAAUCAGGGACGAAAGACGCGUAAGCGGGAUGACGGUACCUGAGUAAUAGCACCGGCUAACUCCGUGCCAGCCGCCGCAGUAAUAC